CCCUGUCCCUGCUAACAGCUCUCUUCUGCACAGGUGCCUGGGGAGGGUGGAAAUUCCUCCCAGGUUUUCCCAAGCCUGUCCACAAAGAAGGGCUUCUGCCAUGACCCUGUAUGGAAACCACACCUCAGAGACUGUGCCUGCUUUCCUGGAUGCCAAUGCAACAGCCUGUCAGGAAGCUUCAUACACUUCGGGUCAGACGCUCUUUCCCUGAAGAAGAAAAGGAUAUUUAUAGCCAGGUAGAACCGUAACGGGGAAAUCUCCAGGCUGCAGUACCUGUCAGAUGAGUUUACUUAUGGCCCCAAUAGCAACAGCCAACCUGGAACCCACUACAGGGAAGUAAAAAUGUGAGGGUCCAGCCCUGGGACACAGCAGGGUCUAACCCAGACAGCCUGGGGAAGUGGCUCGGAUGCAACUUGGAGAGUUGGACUCGGUUUCUGGCCUUGCAGAAGAGGAACCCUGAUGCUGUGUUUGCAUUCCCAUGGUUGGGGGUGAUCUCCGGUCUGCCUCAGCAGCCUGGAGCCUGGAUGGAUCUCCUCGGAGUGUUCUCCCACCAUGUGAGACCUUGUGUACUGGGUGAAUAAGCACAGGGCAAGUGAUGAAAUAAGGGCCGUGAUGCUGCUGGGCUACAUUGUGGUCCUGACAAGAAACAUCUGGGCUUGGAGAGGUGGAGGACACCACAAGCCCAUGAGGCUGAGGCCCAGCAGUGACCUCGAGAGGCAAGAGCCAAACGUGUGAACCUUAUCCCAGCUACGAGACGUGGCAGUGCCGCAGCAAACACCAGUGUGUGAGGAUGGUGCGUGAUGGCUGGGCAAGGGAAGGCAGGUCACCUUGUGGAGGGGGAGCACUCUCGAGAAAGACCCUGCCUGGGUUUAACUCUGCUGAGGCCACUGGAGCACAACAUGAAUGGGUGCUAUACUCAAGAAGAUUCAAAUAUUCCUGGGACCAGUUCAGGACCGAGGCUUCUCAGUCACUCUGCAGCUGGUGGGGUCACUUUCACCUUGCAGAAUGGAUUGAAAGGCUUUUCACUGGAGCUCCUUGCCCUCCUGCACAAGGAUUGAAAGGUUGUGCUCUUUGGCUUGUGAGACAGAAUGACCGCAGUUGCUGCAAGAGAGCAGGAAAUCAUCUCUGUAAAGCUGUCCAGAAAGCCUUGAAUUCAGGAUUACCCUGCAUGGCUCUGCAUGCCCUCCUGGGCCCUUAGCAAGGAUUCAGCUGCUCUGCAGUCCUUAGCUUUAUCACAGGAAACUUCUUCACCUAGCUGCUGCCAGCAUGCUUUUGGCAACCCUGGGUGUCCUGUCAGCUGUUACAGGCCAUUAAAGGAUUUGUUUCUCUGUGUAUGAAAAGGCUUAAUUCAAUUCUCAUUCUCUCCUGGCAUUCCUCAGAGUAACACAUGCAUCGUUCAGCUUCUGUUGCUCCAUGUGUCGUGCUCUGUUACUCCAUCUUGCUCAGAGCUGCAGAGCGGAGGAAACGCUGCCAAGGCUUUUUCUGGGAAUUUGCUCUGGUCCUGCUACUUCCCUGGGAGUGCUCAACUGAUGUGUUUCAUUUUCUGGGGGAAUAAAAUGUCAGCUUCUGAAUGGACUAUCAGAGACCAAGGCAAGGACCAACUGCUCCUUUGUCUUUGUGGGCAGGUGCCCACACACACAUAGCCACAAUGCAGGGCAAACUCUGCUCCUCCCUUCUGGCCUGGGUUGCAAUGAUGGAUUAAGUAGGGCAGAAUAGCAGGAGUUUUUGUGGAAACAGUACAUUUGAAGUGAGCCCAUGCAGCAGGCUGCAAGUUCGCUUGUAUGUAGAAAAGAUUGCUAGUGAUGGGGAUUCUCCAGCCAGGACCUCUGAAUUGAGCAAUGGCAAGCUGUCCAGUUUUGCCCCAUGAAGAGCCCAGCCUGGGUGGAGCUGUGAUAUCUCCUUCAGGAAGCCAGGAUGGUUGCUGGAAGGAGCUGGAGAUGAGAAGAGGGAGAGUGGACAGGAGAGAGAAGGCUCAGGCAUUGCAUCAUCCUCACCUUUGCUCCCUGCUGUGAAUAAAAGUGUGUGGGACACACGAGACAGCACAAAUAGGGCGUGGGCAGAGUUGGGCAUUGCACAGCAGAGGGCUGGUGCAGAGGACAAGGCAUCCUCGCUUCCUCCUCACCACCUCUCUGAAACAUUUUCCAUGUGUAUUCUAGCACUGUUAUCUCUUUCAGGACCUCUUUUACAGGCAUUUUUAAUGAUUCCAGGGGAAAAUGAGGCUCAGAUGGCCAGUGACAAACCCAGCCCAAAGCUGCCCAGACUUGGGGAGGUUGCUGCUUUGCCUGGAAGCAUUGCAUUUCCUUGGUGUAGGUUCAGUAGUUGCCUUCGAUGCUGAACAGGAGGAAGACAUUUCCACCUGCUGGACCAGCACAAGCCAAGACCCAAACUGAACAAAGAAUGGACAGUAUAUUCAGGGAUAUGUAAAUCCUUCUCCUCCAGCCUUGGGAAGUUUAUUGCCCUCAACAAAGUACACAGCAUGGCUGUCAUUCCUGAGGAGCCCAGGCAGGCCGUUAUGUGACAAGGGAAAAUUACCCAGGCUGUUCUCCAGAAGGCAAGUGAGCAGGAAUUUUCCUCCGACUGGUUCAGGACAAAGUUAAUGUAGGGAAAGCCAUUAAAAUUAAUGCUGGUAAACAAGGAUAAAAACCAGCAGGGCUGUAACAAAAUUUGGACCAGAUUGGUUUUCCCAGCUGUCACACUGCAUGCUGUCUUCAAGGCAGCAGGCGGAGGGAUGGGGUAAGCUGAGUUCAGAAAGCUCUUGUUAGAGGUGGCUGUUUGGUUGGGGUUAGGGGCACUGGGCUCCAGUGGCACUGGCUUUGUGGUCCAGCACUUUAACCCACUCAGGUCUUUUUCUGGGAAGCAGUGAUGCUGUUUUGUCCGAUGGUUGUUACAUCUCAUAUCUAUUAAUGUAAUGGUUAUCUGCUCUCCUCCAGAGGCUGCCCUCAAAAUCCAGGCCCUGCUCUAGGGCUCUGAGAAUGUGUGGUUGCUGGCUGCAGGUGUUUUGUGUGAGCAUGUUUGGGAGCUGAUCUCAGGCCGCUGAGGCAGUGACUUACUCCAAGAAGCCGAAUCUCGGAGUUCAGAUGGAAAAGGUGCAAAGGGGCAUGGUGAUUUCCCUCUCCCUUUUGCCUGCUCCAAUGUGAAUGGGAACAUGCUCAAGCUGGGUAGAGUGAGGAUUAUUGGGGAUGUUGUCCACUGUACUGGGAGGAAGACUCAGGUUUGAUGCCUUGUCUCAUAUUGGUGGUGGGUAUGGGCUAAACAGGGCCCAGAGCAUCCCAAGGAAAAUGCCCUGGCACAGGAGCUGUGUGUUACUGCACUCUUCUAGGUAAAUGGCUUUUUCCAACCCCACAGCAUACUAGCAUAAGCCAGUCAACUUCUCCAAAACUUCUGGCACCAGAUAUUUAACUGACUUGAUGCUUUGGAAUAGUUGGAAUCUAGUAUAAUGAAGGCAAAAUGUCUAGCCUCAGAACUGAAGUAAUCGACCAUAUUUUCAAGUGACCACUGAUUUGAUGGUAGUGGUGAGAAGGGAGAGGUAUGAAAGCAGUUAGCCACUUCCUUGUGGAUCCCGAGAGACUUAGAUAGUAUGUUUGAAAAGAAAUAAGGCAACAGUCUCAUCUCUGAGCACAGCCAUCUUCAGCAUAGAUGAACAACAUAGGUGCCAACAGCCAUAGAAAAAUCCCCAGUACACCAGUCAGCGCGAAUAACAGCAGAAGGAUCCUUUGGUUCCUCAAGAGGUGUGUAUACCUUGUAUCUCCCUAGUAAGGCUGUGUUUGCUCAGAUUUCAAUGGUUUUGAUGGCCCUGUCUUGGAUGGUCGGGUUCUGUAGGUUGUGUUCUGGUGGAGUCUUUAUGGAGCAACUUGCGAGUGAAGUGAAGUUGCUGAGAUAAAAUGCUGCAAUGUCUGCAGCCAAGUGCAGGGAACUACAGCUGGAUGUCUAAAGUCAUCCUCAUCAGAGAGGUGAGGGAAAGUCUGGGCAGAUCAAGACUGAUGCUGGAAUGGAAAGCCAUGUGGAGAGAGGCCCAACACACAAGUCGUCUUUUGGAGCCCUCAUCCCUGGGGGAAUCCACAGGCUGCCUCUAUGAGGAGACAUCAGCCUCUUUUCUCCAGUCAAACUGCCAGCAGGUUGCUGUCUCAGAGGUGUACUGCAGGUGAGGUGGGCAAACGUGGAGACCUUUCUUUUGUUUUUCAUGAGACAUCACCAAAGAAUCAGGAUGAUAGAACUAUUUUUGUGGAAGUGACUAUGUGAAAUAUUUUUUUCAUUCUGAUUAUUUGAAAACCAAAACUGUUCAUGUGUUUUAAAAUUUAUGUCCCCUCCAGGUUGCUUGGCUUUGUUUAGUUUCUUAUACUCUCUCCCUUAUUCCUCAGAGGAAGCCAUCCAGACCUAAACAGUGUGUUAUUUCUUGAGGAAAUGCAAUCGUUUUCCAGUCAAGCUUAGGCUGGAAAUACUUGUGGUGAUUAAUUUGUCUGAGAAAUUUAAAAAAGCUUGGAUGGAACAGAAAUCAGGCUGGUUCAGGAGAAGCUUCCUUGUGUUUGAAGACCCACUUGAGUAGGGGAGUUGUUUCAAAAGUUUUUUUUAUUGGAGAAAGAAAUUGUUCUAUAGGCUUUGUUUCGGAGACUUGGACUCAGCCAUUCUUCUGUUGCCGCUUCUUGGAUGGUUACAAGAUCUGGAGGCUGACCAUCCUGGUCCCAGCCUCCCAUGCCUGCUGCAUUGUAGAGCUGUGCCACCUCUCACAGAGUCCUACAUCUUGAUCCCUCUGCUCUCCAGGGUCACCACUUCUGCAGGGUGCAAUGGAGGUAAUGCCAUCUUUGCCUUGACUGUACUUUGUACCAGAAGUCUUCCCCAAGAACGAGGAUCAUAUGGGUGCAGAGCUGUCUUGAAUACAGCAGGGACCUUCUGCUAUUGCACAGUGAAGGGUCCAGGUCCCACAUUCAUCACUACAGUCUACUCAAGCUUCUUACCACCAAGAACAUCUUUCUGAGGUUUCCCAACAUCCAGCAAGGUUCUGAGCCAGACACUAGAAAGGCAGAUGCAGUGGUACUAACCACAGCAAAGUCCCCUGCAGACUCUCUCUCUUUGGCCUUCAGUUUCCCCACCUAUAAAACAAGCGUGUUUUAAUGGUGUCCUCUUCGAGGCUUGGCUUUCUGUUUUGUCACACAAGGAGUUGUGGAAAACCACCAGGCAAUGGCUAGAAUCAGAUGAGCUGGUCUGUCACGUCCCAAGAGCAAUCAUGGGUUUGAGGGGCUCUUCUUAUUUCCAUGGCAUGUCCCAGAAGAAGCUUGAUCGGAGGCACGGUGUAUCAUGGAAACAGGACUGUGCUGGAGAGGCGUGGGCAAAGGGGAUACUUCAAAUGGGACAGGAGUGGUGGUAAGUACCUAUGUGUCUGGAAGGAAAUACACCAAGAAGGGGCCUGGGUAGAGGAGAUCACCUACUCCUGUUGCUGACUGCUCUGUGAGCUCCCAGCUCUGCUGUCUAGCACUGGCCAGAUCCACAGUACAACUGCUCAUCUCCAGUCCCUGCCUUCUCUGUGCCCCACAUGCUGCUUCUCCUAUAAAUAGCCUGGUGGGAAGCAGAGCACAGAGCCACCACAGAUGGCCCCCAGUUCCACAUGUAGUCAUGUGUGAGAUCCCAGAUAGGGGCUGUCAAUUCCUUGCCUUGAGCCACCCGUGAAACCUCAUUAAAAAUGGUAUCUUCUUCCUUAACCCCCAUCACCCCCUCCCUUCCCACUUCAACUUGCCUGCAUUCAAGCACCCUUAUUAAACAUGCACUUCUAAGCAAGGAGCGCUGACUUCCCCUUAAUUGAGGCAUAAUAAUUAGAGCAUUAACACAUUAGGAGGGUGAGACAGCAUGUUUAGCUUUUGUGAUUAAUUAUCUGAGGAUUGUAAUAAGUUGUUAAGACAUUAAUUACUCUGGCAUGUUUAUUGCUCUUUAUUGCAGAACAGACACUUGGUAGCAGCAAGUGCUAGUGCAUCUGGAAAUACAGCAAGAAGGGGUCUGUAGGGAGGAGACCACCUACUAGCCCACAAAACAGUGAGCUGCUGGUGGUGGGGAUAGAGUGGGGACAUCCUCCUGGGUGGACCUUGGUAACCAAAUCGGUUUAUUUCUCUUCCAUCUCCAGGAGGCCACAGAUGGAUAGAAGUGGUAUCUGAGUCCCUUAGGACAAUCUCGGACUUUGAAGGUCCUUUCUGAUCUUUUAAUCUGGAUUUUCUCUUUCAAAUAAAGUGUUUCCUUCACAAUGGUUUGAGCUCCCCCUCAUUUGGAUCUUUGUGUUUCCACGCUAGUCAGUGUGACUCAGUCUCUGUCUGGAUCUUACACAGAAGGCUGCCUGUAUUAAAGACAGGCUAAAGUUCAGAGUGUCAGCACUGGUCAAGGAAUGGACCAAAACUCCAGUGUCCUCCCUCACCCCUCCAUUGGAUGAAUUUUAUUCUGGAGAAUUGGGAGGUAGGUUAGGGAGGGGUGUUGCUCUGGUGGCAGAAGAUGUUUGGACUGCCAUAGCCUGCUCUUUAGACAACAAGCUGCCCUGUGGCCCCCAGACAACUCGAUGCUGAUCAAUCAGAUUGGGUCUGAUGGCAGAGUUCAGGCCUGGAGGAUGAGUAGGACUUGUGUGCUCCUGAAACUCUGACAGGGAGAAAAGGCAGCCAAAUCAGUGGGAAGAUGUGGUGGGCCUGUUCCCAGCCUUCUGGUCUUCCCAUGAAAUACACACAGUGCCAGACCCUCCCCACCUCAACCUCCCUCUGCAGUUAUCUGGGCUGAGGAGAACACAGGAGACACAGUGGCAGCCCCAACCACCAUCAUGGAUAAAGAAACUUGGGAAGAUGAUAAAAAAUGAGAAGGCGGAGAAGCUAUGGGUGCAGUGUGUUGAUAUAGAUUUGCUUUGGCACCCUUGGACCUGAUGUUUAUGGUUUUUAAGCUGUUGCUGUGUCCUUGUGUUAUUACAACACGUGCUUGUGUCUUGGGGCAGCAACCGAUGGAUGCAAGGGGCAGGAGGGGGUCUUUCCCUGUUGCCUGUUGUUAGAGUUAAAAUGUGUAAUGAUCCUGACCAGUCUCUGCCUCCCAGAACUGACCGGUGUCAUGAUCACUCAAAUGUCUUGGUGGCAGGGGAGGCCAAAUCCCUUCCCUGUGUGUCAUCUGAAAGCGAUCUGCUGCCUUCGGCCCCUGGAGCCCCUACCGGUCUCUCGCUAGUCCAGCCUGGAUUUGGCAUUCACUAUUAGGUGCCUGCUUUCUGCGUUCAUGGAAAGUGUCAGCCCAGCAUUUCCUGCUCAGAUCCUAGGGACAAAGCAGGUCAUGACUUAUGCGUUUUAUCAUUAAAAAGAUAAUUUCCUCUAGAUGUGUGCAAUAAGACAAUGGCACUGACCUGUGAUCCUGGCGUUGCACAGCAUUAAUGAUUUCUCUUUGCAGGUAAUAAGCAGCAAAUGUACACAUUUUGGGGAGAUCUGAAUUUUUUUUUCCUUUUAAGACUGCUGUCUUCCUAGGCCAGACUUAAUUAGCAGACCUCAUUAUUUCCUCAAAUGUAACUUGACUUCCAUUGAAUGAGAAUUGUUCAGUGGAUGGGGAGCAGCAGAGCAGUGCUGCAAUAUUCAUAUUGUUUUAAUUGCAACAUUAACAUUUCAUGCUGCUCUUGGCAUACUUUCAGGUGCGGCCCUUUAGCUCAAUGCAGUGCUGUGAAAGGUUGGAUCAGAACAAUUAGGAUAGAGUGACUGGAUUUCUGGAUUUAUUUUUUUUUUUAAAGGAAUGCAAGCCUGGAUUCAAUCCCCAUCAUUCCUUUUGUUGGGCAGAACAGGGAGUCAAGCACCCCUGAAGUGUAAAUCCUUUUUCUGGAAUAAAGGAUGUGCUGUAGUGCAUGUUUAAAUUCUCUCUUUGCAGAGCUGAAGCCCUGCAGGUACAAGUGAUACGUGAUCCACCGGGCUUGAUGGCACCUCCUGGGACUUGACCUUUACUGGCUGAAUUCAGAGAAGUCCCAAAAUGCAUCUGGUCAGCUGGACCAGCAUCACAUAUGAGCUGGAGGAAAAAGGCUAUUUCCCACUUCUCAAUUACUUCCAGGGCUGUGGGAUGCCUGAGGCUUGAAAUGACACUCUGAACAGAUAACGACUGGGUCAGUGCAGAUCCUAAAUGAGCACAGGGAUUACCCUGCUCUGUCCCCAAACUGCAUACGGGAUUUGGCUUUCUUGCAUCUGGGUCAGACAACACUGAAAUGUUGGGCUCGGCCUUAGUAAGCUCUGGUCACCUUCGCUGCCUUGCCGUGUAACAUAUGCUUUCCGCUAAUUGUUCCCGUACUGGAGAGUGGUGUUGAGUGACAGGAGUUCCUGGCAGGAAUGACUCUGGGUUCCACGCUGGAACAGCCUAAUGAGGGUCUCCUAAUUGGGUCACUGAAAGGAGGUGAGCAAGGAAGGCCAGCCAGCAGCUUUAGUAAAUGGCUUCUUGGAGUCACCCUCCGAAGGCUGUAUUGCACUGUGUGACGUGUGAACCAUUUAAUUGACUUUAAAGGAGAACUAAGAGGCUGGUGUGUCCCCUUCAACCUUUAGGAGAAAGAGGAAGGGUUGCUGGGGAUUGCUCUGUCCUGCCAGCUUCUUGCUGGCAUUGGCUUGAUGAGUGGGUCUAGUCUGCAGCAAGGGCCUGUGUGGAGGGGAACAAGCUCCCUUUUGCUUACAAUAACAAUUGCCACUAAUGAGUCAACUGCUAAUGGGUAGCUUGGUAUGUAAGUGAUACUGCUGUGAGCAACCCUGGCGGCUGCUCAGACUCUGGGCUGCCUUCCUGGCAUUUGCUGGCAGCAGCCUGAAGAUGAAACAUCUUGCUGGAAGGCAAAAUCUCUGUCCGUAUCACAGAGAAGCAAUGAAAGGGUUACCGGGGGUGAGGGAGCUGCUCUGCCCAUCGCUGUUCCCCCUUGGAGCUGGGCAUGUCUGUUCCAUUUCAGGGAGCAUCUGAACUCAUCCAGAAGCCUGGGAUGGUGGUUCAAGCUGGAAGUGCAGCAGGAGCUCGGCUUGGUCACUGAAGAAUGGCAAGGGAAGAGCACACAGCCCAUUUCCAGAGGCUUUCCAAAGGCUAAAAUGACAUCUUGGCUGAUAGGAGAGCCAGCCAGCUAAGCACGCUCAAAACUUUCUCCCAUUAGUACUGUGUGCAGUGGGAUCCAUGAAGCCUUGUUCCCUGUGGAUAUAUAGCUUGCAUUUGGAUUCUCUGGUGUCUAGUAAGCUGUGUGUGCUGAAUGGAACGUCUUCCCUUACCAGGAUAUUUAUAGCAUAUCUCUCUCUCCCACGCAGAUUGUCUGAUGUCUAAUAACGGAUGAUACACUACAGUUUGGAAGAUGCUAAUAAUGUCUCUCCUCUGUUUGACAGUCUGUUCCCAUGAAAUUUAUAGACUCUGACUGUCUCAGAGACCUCUGUCUCUCUGUCAGAUCAGGUUGAAAUCUGUUUGCAGUGUCAGAAGUUGCUGGGGAGUGGGCAGAGGACAGACUGAUGCAGCAAGAUCGCAUAUGCUUUGCACUUCUUAGGAAAUUAGGCUGAAAAUGUGCGCAGCUCUAUUUCCUACAGAUCUGGGGGGGCAGCUGUGGCUCAGAUCACCAAAUUGCAACUUGGGGAAAGCAAGCUGGUUGUGUGGGAGGAAGGCAAUGAGCUCAGAGUCUACCCAGGAGAAGAACUGCUCUGCCCCCAGCCUUCUCUCACCGGCUGCCAUGCUGUGGGCUCUUCAGGCACGUUCGAGCUGCCUGGGGCGAUGAGCACAAGUGCAGAGUGUGGCCUCCUGUGGAAAACAGCCCCUGAGGACGAUAAACGAGCAAGCCCCGAGCUCCUGGCUGGUGUGAAGAAUUGCACGGCUAAAGGAUAAUGAAUGUCACGGCAGGAGACAGAGCAUUUCUUUGAGGCCAUUCAUCCCCUUUAUCACCCUGCUAACAAGCCCCAGAGCGACUUCAGAGAGACUUCUCUGGAGCAGCUCCAUCCCUCAGCCGUGCUGAUGGCUGGGUGCUGGGGGUCAGGAAUACAUUUUGUGGCAGCAGUGCUCAGUGGGGAAACUACAGACCACUCCCGCACCCCCCAAGUUUGGGUGCCAAUAGUAGGGACUGUGCAGUGACUCUGGCUUUGCUGGCAUGGAGACUGUGCCCACCUUCGGGCCAUGUGUUGUGCCACCUGAGAGAUUCAGACAUAAAAGCCAAGCAUCCAUCUUUUUUGAAGUACUUUUGGGCAGCGAGGGCCCUGCAGCUCCCUUAGGAGGAUUGCUCUAUCCUAAUUCCUAGCUUGUCUAAGAUUUAAGAUUUAUAAGAUUUAUACAAGACCCAACAGGACUUUGGGGCCGCCGGCACAGAGGUAACUUGGUUCUGCUUCACUUGCAUCACAGCUGAGUCCGUGCAUGUGUCUUGUGCGAGGAGGAAAGGGCAGGAGUGAUGUGCUCUGCGCAAGAGCUAAUAAAAGCUAAUUCAUCCCUUUGCUCCAAGACUGUAGGAAGCAUUAGUGGCUGGCUGAGUGCAUCCUCCACCGCGGCAGCAUGCUGGGUGCCUCCGCCUUCCCUCUGGCUAGGAGCAAAGCAUGUCCUCCUGUGGAGGGGAAGGCAUCUCUGUCAGCAAGAGCUGCGCUGUCUAUGACUGUGUCAACAGGCAGCCCAAAGUGCUGUCUGUAGCUGGCAUCCCUCCUGGGAAGAAAAAUGAGCCAAGUAACCUGGGCAGGUGGGCCUGGGAAUGAGGAUGGACAUCCCUUGGAUAAUUUCCUGUGCUGGGCUUCAACUCUGAGCAAGUGCCUUUGCCUCUGCCCUGGGGCUCAGGCCACAGCUUGUGAGAGCAGAGAAAAGCACCGUCCCUGAUUUGACCGGGACUAUGGGAGGGCCCUAAAAGGGCUGCAGCCAUUUGUGUCCAAAUAGGUGGCCAAAUAGGUUGGAAUACCUUCAACAACCACCUUGUGUGCUCACCCGUGCACUGUGCAUGCAGGUAUGUGGUGUGCCACCCUGCGUGUUCACCUAUCAGAGUCAUCGUGUCUACGGCAUGGUGCACAGUGGGUGAGAAUUAAGUAGAGCUAAUUGCCAGUAACUGGAAGUUUUUUAUUUUCCCUUCUGUCUGUUUUCUUAAUUUCUCUGUCAUCUUCUUUUCUGGGUUUAGCUGUUGGAGGAUGCUUUUUAUGUGGUCCAUGGUAAAGCACCCCACACCCAGUGCCAGUGGCAGGCAGGGCUGGGAGAAGAGAGUGAGAGGAGGAAAAGGGAAAGCAAACAGGAGAGGUUGUGUUGUCCUUGAGUGUCCUCAACAAAUGCUGGUGGUUUUGUAGGGGCAAAAAAGGUGGAGAAAAGCUGUAACGCUUUGCAGGUAGAGCGUGCAGAGAGCACUGUGGUGGGUAAUUGGGUUGUUCCCGUGAGGGUGGAAACAGCAGGAGAACAACAGUUGGUGGGGAUGGUCUAGAGUGUGUUUGCAGAGCUGUGGUCCUGGAGCAGAGGAGAAAGACUGGUGUGUUAUGGAGCCAGGCAUCUCUUUGAGUGCGAGCAGCACAAUAGCAAGAAGAUUGUAAUCCUAAUUUUUUCUUUCCAUUCUUUAUCAGUACAUUGCCAAGCAUUCUAAAAGGAAGUUAACCCACAGAUUGGAAAUCUUCACAUCUUGAGGCUUCAGAGACUAGUUCAAAGCCAAACAGAGGAACCAAGGCCACUGCCUGUUAGCGCCAAGGCCCCGUCACGUACUCUCCUCCUUGGCCCCAAAUAUUCUGCAUUCCAGACCUUGGCCUUUCUCCCAGGCCCCUGCACUGACCAGACCGAUGAUGGGGAGCUCAUUGGAGGCCAGUCAUGUCCCACAGGGCAGCUGGAGAACACAUUGCCUCCUGUGGCCACAUGUGAUCAGCUGGACUGCCUCUGGGAGGGUGGCACACUGGCAUGCGAAAUGGCCAUUUGAAGUGGGGUUGAAUUUAUAGGGCACCAUUAAAUGUGGAGUUAAAGGGAAACAAAAUACAUCACCUUCCUUGUGGGUUGCCACUCAGCCAAGAGUAACAGAGAUUAGCCUUCAAUCACACGGGGGCUGGAGCUGAAGGAAGCCUUCUCGAGGACACGCUGGAGAAACAUUUUCAUUAGUGGAGGAGAACCUGACAGAGAUGAAGUGCCCCUUCACCUCAGCUGCCGGACCUCUCCCCUGCCUAGUGUUAACAGGGUGGGGGAAUGCUAACAGAGGAGUUGGUGCCAGCUGCAACACUUUAAGUGCUGUCUGCAUCCAGAUGUGAGAAACAGCUGUGACAGAGCAAAGCAGCGCAUUUAUAGCCUGGUGGACGUGGCUUUAGUUUUUCCCUGCCUAUCGCUGAGCACUCGCUGCUGGAAGCAAACUGGCUGUCAGUUGAACAGAGGAAAUGGGUGUUAGGUGCAAGCCACGUACCUGUACGGGCAUGCUAGCGUGGGCCAGAAAAAGAUGUCCUUGGGGGAUGAUGUCCAAGGGUCCAGGAGGUAUCAUGGACCCUGCUUCCUGCAAUGCAUUUUGCAAAUGUAACAGGAUUGUCGCUGGGGUAGCAGAGGCUUUCUCUGCUCCAUAGAAAGCUGUUCCACAGCCCAUAGCCUGCUAUCAGCAGGCAUCUGUUCUUAGUCUGCAUCCCCCCAGGGCAGCUGAGAUGCCCAGGACUCACUUCUGCUAUUGAUGUCUCUGUUGUGCUGGAGAGACACACCCUGCACCCCAGCUGGGUGCCUGGCAAGGACCUGUCUGUCCUGGUUAUUACUGGGAAUUAGCUAGCAGGAUCCCUGCAGCCAGUGUCUGCCAACCCCCACCUUGCCUCCCUGGGGCUGGCGUGCUCCUGACAAUGGCAGGCUCCAUUUCUUUCACUCACAGCUGAAGGAUGCCUUGCCUGGUCCUAUCUUGCAGGUUGGACGGAAAUCGUUUUAAUUUGUGUGGCACAUUCCUUUGGGGGGGUGAGAAAAAAACCCAAUAGAAACUCCAGCCAUUCUGUGUAUUUUUAGCUCUUUGUGAAGGACCAUUAACAUCUCUUUCUCUCUUUAUUUUUUUUUUUUUUUAACUCCCUGAAGACUGUCCUCCCUUCGGGGCUGCGUGCAAUGCUGAUUAACAUCACAUUUCUGUGGUGAAGGUAAGCUGGUGCACAGCACUCCUCAAGACUCUGACUUGCAGGGAGUCUCAUCUCCUUUCCUUGCUCUCUGGGUGCCCACCCGUGAGGGUUCUCAGGGGCAAAGCCCUAUGAGAAGAGGCUCCCUGGCUGGGAGGGUGACAGGCUCAGACAUGUUCAUGUCUUCUGGGAUGGGUUUUAUCAGGAAUGUGAUCUGAGCUUCCUGAGAGGGAAGCCUGGCAGCCUGGGCAUUGGUUUGGGACACAAAAUCAGGUGGCUUCUGUUUUUGGAGUGUUCUCAUGUUAAGGUACCUCUCACUUCCCCAUUCUCCUUUUCAGAACUGAGAGCAAUCAAAAUUAGAGAAAAACCAUGCUUUUGAGCUUUUUUUUCUCCUGAACCCUUCACCUGCCUUGUUUUACUUUUUUUCCUACAAUCUCAGCUGGCUGAGUUUCAGUGCCAGCCUAUUGAAAGGAAAAGUGUGUGCUGGCUUAUGGAGGGAGAGAGACCUGAGACAGGAUAAGUCUGGAGACAAUGAGACUGGGAGGAGGUAAGUCAGCUGCUCUGAUGCUUUUAUUAUGGAGCCAGGCUGCUGAGGAAUGAAUCUUUCUGAAACAUAUGUUGCUGGAUAACAUUUCUACCACGUUCUGGCAGUAACCUUCACCAAGCCUUGCUGUCCAGCCUUUUGGUUGCCUGUUCCUGGGGCAAGGGGAACAAAUGUCAGUUGGAAAUGCCACAGGCAGCAGGGCUUGAUGGUGCUUGAUGCACCUCUGAUGAGUCUGAAGCCACCUGGACUUUGGCACCAGAAACUCUUCAGGCUACAGUGACGUCAGCUUACGGACACGUGUUGUUUUGCAAGGGAGGUGUUGUCUUCUUCAUUUGUUUCUCAUUUCAGAAAUGAAGAGGAUGCAACAGAGAUCAAACGAAAUCCUCCUUGGAGUUGUCCAGAGGAUAGAUAACAGUUCUGGAAAAGGAAGUCUGUUUGCUCGGUAACCUGGUGAUGAGGAGUCCGCUGAGUUGGGUGUACGGCUCAGUGAAUAUACAAAUGUGCGGUUGGAUCGUGGCCCCCUCUGACAGGCCGGAGAUGAAUACCAAACAUGCAGGGAGAAGUGCAUUCCCUUCUUUUGUUGCUGCUGCCUCUGAUGGUUGUUUUUCUUAGCCCAAGGAGGUGUGAGAAUCGCCUUUGGGAGCAGUGCUUCCUUCUGCUCCUGUUCUGCCUUGCCAAGGUUCAGUUCUCUGCCAUCCAUCAUCAGACGAUUCCUCUCCUCGCUCCCACAUCUCAGCUGCUGACAGGGAUGCCAGGGAAGGGGUAUCCAUUUUACCCUGCUUUUUGCUACCAGCCUUUUCCCUCUCCCUUUCAUAUCUCACCUCCCAGGCCUGUUACAAGCCAAUCGCCAAACUGAAGCUCAAGGAAACUUGCCUUCUCUUGCUAGUCUACAUGCUUUUGGAGAGAGGUGACCAGCACUAUGGGGCUUUGCAAGGAGAAAUGCACCAGCUAUGAGACGCUCAGAUGCUAUAACUCUGCAGGAUAACCUGUGUACCCAAAAGAUGAUGACAACCUGCCUUGACACCCAUGGAUUUGCUCAUCUCCUCCGGCCUCUUAGUUUCCUGCUGUCUGGUACAUGAGCUGCUUCCCUGGCCUCGAUGUAUGAAGAAGCUUUCAGCCAGGGCCCUGAUUCGGGGAGCAGCAACCAUUCCCUCCUGCCACCAGCUCCUGGGAGGAGCCAGCUGCGUGCUUGCGACCAGGCAAGGAUGCAGCAGGAGCUGUUAAGCAGCAAGAAGGGAGGAAGGCAAGCAAUGGCAGAUUCCUCUGGCGUCUCCACACUGCAGGGGUCUUGGCAAGAGCCUUUCUGAGAGCACUGCUCCCAACACCACUGCCAAGGCUCAGGAGAGAAGGAAUCUCUUUUUGACUGAGUUUCAUGGGCUUCGGGGGAGCUCCCUGAUUUACGGCCAACGAGGAGAUGGCUUGGAUGGAACAGAUCUUUGCCCUCCAGGGAGAUCCCUCCAAAAUUCACUGACUGUCUUAACCUCCAGUCCAGGAGCAGAGCCAAGAGGUCCCCUGGGAGCACUGUCCUGUGAGCAGCCAGGCUGGGGAGGGUCAGGGUCCGGCUCGAUGAGGUUUCAGGGUUUUUUUUUGUAAGGAAUUGUGGCCCAGAGGUCUCUGCUGGUGUCCAUGAUAGCAGCGUCCACAGGGCAGGUGCCAGGUUCUUCCCAUACGAGGUGUGAUGAUGCCUAGACAGGCAUGAAAUGUGCGUGGAGAGGCACUGGGAGAGAUCUGCUGCCUCUCAGAGGCCUGCAGCAUGGUCCCCCACGUGCCGUGUGCGAGGGCAUGGCCACAGGAAGGGUUGUGGGCAAUGCGGAAGCGAACGCAGCGAUAGAAACCACUCUUAAAAAGACUAUAAAAGUUGGGGCACCAAGGAGACUGCCGCUGAAGGAUCCUCACGGCGGGUUGAGCAUCUGCUCCAGCGGGGCCAAAAGCUGCCUCUGACCAAGCCACAUCCCCCGGCCAUCGGCACAUCACCCCAGCCACCGACACUCGAGCAAAAGCAGUGGUGCAGGGCAGCCAUGCUGGCAUCGUCCCUGCGCUCGGAGCCAGUCUGUGCUGCGUGAGCCAUCCCUCCUCCAUAGUCCCGUUGGCGUCCUCCAUCUGCUCAAGCUCUGCAUCUCUUUGGCUGGUCGCUGGGUGUACCAUGGAAGCACGCGGUUGGCACUAAGGGUCAAGAGCAUGCGUUUCCUCCAGGAGGGGUCAAACCAGCUCCCAAGGCGCAUGUCGUUGCUGAUGAAGAUGGAGUGCACCUCAAUGC